UGGGGAAUUUUGGACAAUGGGCGCAAGCCUGAUCCAGCCAUGCCGCGUGCAGGAUGAAGGCCUUCGGGUUGUAAACUGCUUUUGUACGGAACGAAAAGGUGCCUUCUAAUAAAGGGCGCUCAUGACGGUACCGUAAGAAUAAGCACCGGCUAACUACGUGCCAGCAGCCGCGGUAAUACGUAGGGUGCGAGCGUUAAUCGGAAUUACUGGGCGUAAAGCGUGCGCAGGCGGUUUUGUAAGACAGAGGUGAAAUCCCCGGGCUCAACCUGGGAACUGCCUUUGUGACUGCAAGGCUGGAGUGCGGCAGAGGGGGAUGGAAUUCCGCGUGUAGCAGUGAAAUGCGUAGAUAUCGGGAGGAACAUCUGUGGCGAAGGCGACUGCCUGGACCAGCACUGACACUGAGGCACGAAAGCGUGGGGAGCAAACA
rnacentral:rRNA from 1 species